UUCCUCGUGGUUCAACGGCGGAACGCCGCACUGUUAAUGCGGAUAUCCAGGUUCGAAUCCUGGCGGGGGAGC
rnacentral:tRNA from 1 species